AACGCACAUUGCGCCCGCCAGUACUCUGGCGGGCAUGCCUGUUCGAGCGUCAUUUCAACCCUCAAGCUCUGCUUGGUGUUGGGGAUCGGCGUAGCGCCCCCGGGCGCCGCCGUCCCCUAAAUCUAGUGGCGGUCCCGCUGUAGCCUCCUCUGCGUAGUAGUUUUCUCCUCGCAGUGGAAUCUCGGCGGUGCCCUGCCGUAAAACCCCCAACUUCCGAAAUGUUGACCUCGAAUCAGGUAGGAAUACCCGCUGAACUUAA
rnacentral:misc_RNA from 1 species